UUGUGCCUGACAACCUCACCAUCAUACAAGGUUCAAUAUGAGAGGAAUAUUGGAGAGAAAAGAACGGCAGGAUAAAUUUUUUUUGAAUCGAAUAUAUAAUAUACAAUGAAAGAUAGGAUAUGGUUUACUAGCUAGAUGGAGGGGUAUCUGAACAUUAUAAUGAUGGAUUGGUUGAUAUAGUUGAUAAGCUUUACAUAAUAGAUACAAACAUAAUAUGAGAAUCUAUAUGGAUGAAUAUUUAAUUUCAUGUCAUUAUUUAUUGAAAAGAUAUUGGAUACUUAUAUAAGAUCAAGAUAUGUAAAUAAUACCUUUUCAUUAAUCUUUUUGAAUGAG
rnacentral:lncRNA from 1 species